CCGCACAAGCAGCCGAGAUUCGUCCGCAAAGGACGGAUACGGGGGACCCGAUCAACUGGGGCGCAUUCCGGAUAACCACCGGAUAGGGAACUUCCAAUCCCGAGCCCGUCAGCUAACCUCGUAGGCACCUGGAAGGGCACAA
rnacentral:sRNA from 2 species